rnacentral:rRNA from 1 species
GACGAACGCUGGCGGCGUGCUUAACACAUGCAAGUCGAACGGAAAGGCCCUGCUUUUGUGGGGUGCUCGAGUGGCGAACGGGUGAGUAACACGUGAGUAACCUGCCCUUGACUUUGGGAUAACUUCAGGAAACUGGGGCUAAUACCGGCUAGGAGCUCCUGCUGCAUGGUGGGGGUUGGAAAGUUUCGGCGGUUGGGGAUGGACUCGCGGAUUAUCAGCUUGUUGGUGGGGUAGUGGCUUACCAAGGCCUUGACGGGUAGCCGGCCUGGGAGGGUGACCGGCCACACUGGGACUGGGAUGCGGCACAGACUCCUACGGGAGGCAGCAGUGGGGAAUAUUGCACAAUGGGCGGAAGCCUGAUGCAGCAACGCCGCGUGCGGGAUGACGGCCUUCCGGUUGUAAACCGAUUUCGCCUGUGACGAAGCGUGAGUGACGGUAAUGGGUAAAGAAGCACCGGCUAACUACGUG